GUUCUUGGGCCAUUUUCAGCCACAACAGGGAAAACCAGCACUCUGGGAGCUAGAUUCAGAUCAGUAUUGCACUGUUGGGAAACACGGCCCUUCUUCAGUUAAUAGCAAUGUUAGAUUAUUCUUGAAGUGUAUUGUGGAGCUUUCCAUUUGAUUCCUUUAUCCGAGGAAGGCCUAGUACAAGCUUGGGGUGAUUCAAUGACAUUUCUUAAUUUCCUUCCUAGAAAUUCAUUUUUGUUUAUGUUUGUAAAUUUCAUGUACACUGUGGUUGCAUGUAUAGAGAUGACAUGGCUAAUUUGGUUUGAAUUCUAUUAAUGUAAUAUUAUUUUUUAUUGAUUAAUUUUUUUAAAUGACAUUUACAUAUUUUUGUUAA